rnacentral:rRNA from 1 species
CCUACGGGAGGCAGCAGUGGGGAAUAUUGGACAAUGGGGGGAACCCUGAUCCAGCCAUGCCGCGUGUGUGAAGAAGGCCCUCGGGUUGUAAAGCACUUUCAGUGAGGAAGAACGCCUGGUGGUUAAUACCCAUCAGGAAAGACAUCACUCACAGAAGAAGCACCGGCUAACUCCGUGCCAGCAGCCGCGGUAAUACGGAGGGUGCGAGCGUUAAUCGGAAUUACUGGGCGUAAAGCGUGCGUAGGUGGCUUGAUAAGCCGGUUGUGAAAGCCCCGGGCUCAACCUGGGAACGGCAUCCGGAACUGUCAAGCUAGAGUGCAGGAGAGGAAGGUAGAAUUCCCGGUGUAGCGGUGAAAUGCGUAGAGAUCGGGAGGAAUACCAGUGGCGAAGGCGGCCUUCUGGACUGACACUGACACUGAGGUGCGAAAGCGUGGGUAGCAAACAGGAUUAGAUACCCCAGUAGUC